ACUCCACGGGAGGCAGCAGUGGGGAAUAUUGCACAAUGGGCGCAAGCCUGAUGCAGCCAUGCCGCGUGUGUGAAGAAGGCCUUCGGGUUGUAAAGCACUUUCAGUAAGGAGGAAAGGUUAAGUGUUAAUAGCGCUUAGCUGUGACGUUACUUACAGAAGAAGCACCGGCUAACUCCGUGCCAGCAGCCGCGGUAAUACGGAGGGUGCGAGCGUUAAUCGGAAUUACUGGGCGUAAAGCGUACGCAGGCGGUUUGUUAAGCGAGAUGUGAAAGCCCCGGGCUCAACCUGGGAACUGCAUUUCGAACUGGCAAACUAGAAUGUGAUAGAGGGUGGUAGAAUUUCAGGUGUAGCGGUGAAAUGCGUAGAGAUCUGAAGGAAUACCGAUGGCGAAGGCAGCCACCUGGGUCAACACUGACGCUCAUGUACGAAAGCGUGGGGAGCAAACAGGAUUAGAUACCCUGGUAGUCCACGCCGUAAACGAUGUCUACUAGAAGCUCGGGUCUCCGGACUUGUUUUUCAAAGCUAACGCAUUAAGUAGACCGCCUGGGGAGUACGGCCGCAAGGUUAAAACUCAAAUGAAUUGACGGA
rnacentral:rRNA from 1 species